rnacentral:rRNA from 1 species
UACGGAGGAUCCGAGCGUUAUCCGGAAUCAUUGGGUUUAAAGGGUCCGUAGGUGGACUGUUAAGUCAGAGGUGAAAUCCUGCAGCUCAACUGUAGAAUUGCCUUUGAUACUGGCGGUCUUGAGUUAUUGUGAAGUGGUUAGAAUAUGUAGUGUAGCGGUGAAAUGCAUAGAUAUUACAUAGAAUACCGAUUGCGAAGGCAGAUCACUAACAAUCAACUGACACUGAUGGACGAAAGCGUGGGGAGCGAACAGG